GUUUAUUUUACCCCUCAUGUGCCUUAGGUGUCUUUAGAAAAGCUGAUGCCCAAACCCUAGCCCAGACAAACUCUACAGAUCUCUUGGGGAGGGGCCAGGCAUCAGCGUGAAAGGAGCCAAGGUGAUUGUAAUGUGUGGAUCGACUGCAACAGAGCCCUUGUUGGAAUCUAAAUGCAACAUAAGAUUCCCGUUGAUUUGGAUUCUCUCUCAUGUUCCGACAGCACCAGCUCCUCUAGUUUCUUUCUCACCUGUGGAAAGGUACUGUUCUCAUCGACUCUCUCUUCAGCUAACCAACCCAUCAAGCCCCAUCUGCUACAUCAUUUUUUGGUUGACACGAUUUGUGAUUUGUCCUUUUUUGGAAUCUGGUGACAUCUGUAUAGACUGGCUGUUUAAUCACAGAAUCUGUGUGCUGUCUUUAUCAUGUGUUUAAGUCUUAUAUCUGGGAAGACUGCAUGAUCCAGGCAGGCAGAGUGGUGGACAGAACGUGGCUUAGGACUUGAAGAUCUAGAUUCCAGUCUGGGUUCCAACACUUGCUGCAAGGGUGGCCUGGAGGAUCAGACUCCUUUCUAUAGAUGCAGCGAUUGAAACGUUCUCCUCCUGUGCUCUGGUUGGAAUUAGAACCCUCGAGUGUGACCACCACCUAUCAGUAUCAAGUACCAAGCUUGUUCUGAGAGUCUGUCCUUUCUCGAAUCCUCCACCAGCAUGGCUCACUCACCACAGUGCCAGGGAUGUGUUGUGUGGCAGCUCCAUGGAUCUUUGUAGAAUUAAUAAAUGAGAAAAAAAGGUAAAAAUAACAUUUCCUCAAAUAGUGUGAAAUCGCGGAGAAUAAGGCUCUAAUGGGAUAGCGCCUUCACUGAAAGAAGGCACGAAAUAAUGAG